GUCAAUAUUUUAAAAGCCGCUUUUAUUCUUUAAAUAACUUGCAGAUACAUACAUACAUACAUUUUAUUUGAAUAUGUUGGCAACUGUUUACUGUAAAGAUAAAAAGCCAUAUGUGGAAAAUACACAAAAAAAUGCAAAGUAAAAUUAUUUUCAAUAUGGCGGAUAUUUAAUACCCUUACCAGACUAGCAGUCGCAGAUUUGAAUAUAUAAAGAUAUUUUUAACGAUCUGGCAGCACGAAUAUUUUAUACACCUGUCAACGGAGCGUGCAGUUUUACUUGAUUUUAAAGUCAACUCAAUAUUUGUAUUUUAUAUUUCAAAGUAUUAUGGGUUUUUAUAUUAGUUUUAAUUAGACUUGUAAAAUUAAUUAAGCAUAAAUUGAGGUACAUAAAAGAUAAAUAAUUAAAAUUAAAUUUUUUAUCUAUUGAGGAUAUUUUGUGAAAAUGAAAACCCAGGGGCUUGCUGCCUUGCUUGAAAUCGGGCAAUACAAUUUUCGGGUGUGUCCACUCACUUAAAACUGAUUUGCAUGUACAGUAAAAAUGCAAAUUGCCCCAUUUGCCGGCCACAGAAAAUGGCAACACAAUGUGAAGAAUGCAUUAUACUAAAACAGCCAGCUAUGCCCAUUCCUCUGUCCUCUUCUGUCCCAGCCCAGCUAGCAUGAAAGAGACUGAAAUGUUUUGUUAUAUU